AUUCACGCGAUUUCUUUCUCUCCAUUAAAAAAAAAAAUACUCUUUCACUUUAUUUUGAAAAGCUACACGCUAACGUCCGUGUCAAAGUUGAACGGCUCUGGUCAACAUGGCGUCGUGGGGUCUUCGGAGGAAAACUUUCCAAACUUUUAUGGCGUCAUGUUUCCACAGCUCGCCAGCCCCCGCUCAGCAGCCUCCUCUUCCUCACUCAUGCUUCUUCCCACCGCUGGAGGAGGCCAUGCUGCCACCAGGAACCUUCCAGGGACGAGUGGCGUUUGUCACGGGAGGCGGGACCGGACUGGGCCGUGCCAUGACUGCCACCCUCUCCCGCCUUGGGGCUGAGUGUGUCAUAGCCAGCAGGAAGUUGGAGGUCCUACAACAGACGGCCAAAGAGAUCAGCAGUCAGACUGGAAACAAGGUCCACGCAAUCAAGCUUGAUGUCAGAGAUCCUCAGGCUGUUACACGUUGUGUAGAACACAUGGAAAGUCUCACAGGAUUGCCUGAUGUGAUCGUCAACAAUGCGGCGGGAAACUUUGUGUGUCCGUCAGAAAAUUUGUCGGCCAACGCAUGGAAGAGCAUCACUGACAUCGUCCUGAAUGGGACAGCCUUUGUCACGCUCGAGCUUGGAAAGCAGCUGGUCCGCAGACAGAAAGGCGCAGCCUUCCUGGCCAUCACAACCAUCUAUGCCGAGUCGGGCUCCGGGUUCGUGGUUCCCAGCGCCGCCGCCAAGGCUGGCGUCGAGGUGCUGUACAAGUCUUUGGCAGGAGAGUGGGGACGCUAUGGACUCAGGUUCAACAUUAUCCAGCCUGGACCCAUCAGAACCAAGGGAGCUUUCAGCCGCUUGGACCCAACGGGACAGUUUGAAGCAGGAAUGCUGAGUCGGAUCCCGACGGGCCGACUGGGCCGACCGUCUGAAAUGGCAAACCUGGCGUCGUACAUGUGUAGCGACUACGCCAGCUGGAUGUCUGGGGCCGUGGUCCGCUUUGAUGGCGGUGAGUACGUGAUGAUGGCGGGAGAAUUCAACGAGCUUCGCAAGGUCACAGGUGAUCAGUGGAAGAUGAUGGAGAAGAUGAUCCGAAGCACCAAAGGAUCGUAAAUAUGCCCACUCUGUCAUGUCAUCAAACUGAGCUGCUCCUUUCACUUAUCUUGCCACGAAGCUGGCGAAACUGUGCAGCUACAGCGAUUAACUUCAGUGGCGGCGGAGGGCUUUAGCCUAGCUUCGACGUCCGGGGCUAACGUCCUCCGCCAAGCUUGAGAGCUUGGCCCACUCUUCGGACUCCGCGUCAUUCCCGUCCGAAGAACCAUCCGCGGCUGCCGCCCCGGAGCUCCCGGGGGCCUUUGCUUACGCACUUAUGUCACGCCUAGGCCUCCAAGUAGUCGGACUCCGCGUCAUUCCGCCCGAAGGACUCUCCUAAUAUUCAACAUUAAUUACAGCCACUGGUUCAAAUCUGUAUGAAAGUAUUCCUCCGUUUUCCUUGCUAUUUCUUCAUCAGAUGAGGAUGAAUCCGAGAAAUCAGCGCUGGGCAUAAUGGUAUCCCAUGUAAUCGAGCGUUUGGAAUGGCACAGUCCACGUCACAUGUGCUCACGUACGUCAUGUGACGCACGAAAAUGGCAGCGCCCCUGAAAAUUUGUAAUUGUGGACAAAAAUCUUCUCAAAACACGAUGAAAUGAGAGAGGAUUUAGCAUCACAUUGUCAAAAUAGAGUACAUAUCACAUGACCUAUUGGAUACACUGUUGAUGCAAAGCACUGGAUUUCUCCUUUAAGGUUAGCCGCAGCUUCUCCCGACAUAUAUUGGGACCAACAAAGCUGACAUAAUGUCGCAGUAUCAUUUAUCAUUUAUCUUAAUUGAUCUUGAAUGUAAUGUUUUCUUCAGUAAAGAGCUAUAAAGGCC